AUACGUAGGGGGGCGAGCGUUGUCCGGAAUUACUGGGCGUAAAGGGCGUGUAGGCGGCCUGUUAAGUCAGGGGUGAAAGACCGGGGCUCAACCCCGGGGGUGCCUCUGAAACUGGCGGGCUUGAGUGCUCUAGAGGGCAGUGGAAUUCCCGGUGUAGCAGUGAAAUGCGUAGAGAUCGGGAGGAACACCAGUGGCGAAGGCGGCUGCCUGGGGAGUCACUGACGCUGAGGCGCGAAAGCUAGGGGAGCAAACAGGAUUAGAUACCCUGGUAGUCCUAGCCGUAAGCGAUGAGCGCUAUGUGUGAGGGGUAUCGACCCCCCUCAUGCAGUAGCUAACGCAUUAAGCGCUCCGCCUGGGGAGUACGGCCGCAAGGUUGAA
rnacentral:rRNA from 1 species